rnacentral:rRNA from 1 species
AGAGAGAGACAUGCGCGCAUAUCAAUAAGCGGAGGAAAAGAAACUAACAAGGAUUCCCUUAGUAACGGCGAGUGAAGCGGGAAGAGCUCAAAUUUGAAAUCUUCAAGGUUCUACCUUGACGAAUUGUAGUUUAUAGAAGUGUUUUCUGUUAGUAGAGUGGCAAAAGUUCUUUGGAAUAGGACAUCAUAGAGGGGUGAGAAUCCCGUAUUUGGUCAUUCCUCCUAGCGUUGUGAUACACUUUCAACGAGUCGGAUUGUUUGGGAAUGCAGUCCAAAGUGGGUGGUAAAUUUCAUCUAAGCUAAAUAUUGGCGAGAGACCGAUAGCGAACAAGUACCGUGAGGGAAAGAUGAAAAGAACUUUGAAAAGAGAGUUAAACAGUACGUGAAAUUGUCAAAAGGGAAGCGUUUGACACCAGUGUUGUUUUUCCGAAAAUCAAUUACGAAUGUUUUAUUUUUGAGGAGUUAUGACUUCAUCGGCUUGCUCCUUUCUUUAUGAAACUUUCUUAAUGCAGCUUUUCGGUUAACAAGUCAACAUCAAUUUCUUUUGUUGUAAAAGGGUAUGAGGAAGGUGGCUUUCUUUUCGGAGAAAGUGUUUAUAGCCUUGUGCCUCUGCAAUCGGAGAGAUUGAGGUCUGCAGCGUAGAUCCUUCGGGGUUAGAUACGUUUGUGCUAAGUUAUAGCUUUUCAUAGACAACUUGUUGGACUAUGUUUAGUCUUGUAGCUUACUCGCUGACUGCUAUUUUACCUACGCUUAGGAUGUUGAUAGUCACAGCGUGUAC